rfam:Exophiala dermatitidis NIH/TT8656 unplaced genomic scaffold supercont1.5, whole genome shotgun sequence.
UUGGAGUGGGUGGAGCUAUUGCAGAAUCCAUUUCUUGCCUUUUACCAGAGAUGGCCGUGGCUACCCCCAAUACACUCCAUUUCUCAAUCUUUGGACACAUUGUGAAUGCU